rfam:Hordeum vulgare subsp. vulgare, WGS project CAJW01000000 data, contig: morex_contig_128010
CUUAUACUCCCUCCGUCCCAAAAUUCUUGUCUUGGAUUUUUCUAGAUAUGAAUAUAUCUAGUCACGCUUUAGUAUUUAGAUACACACAUUUCUAGACAAAAUUAAGACACGAAUUUUGGGACGGAGGGAGUAUCUU